AAAAUAAAAUUAAUACGAGACGGUAUAUUACGAGUGAGAUCCUAGAUAUAACAAUAAAAAUAGAAUUACGAAGUUUCGGUCGAUAAUUGUAUUUUGCUUGUUAAAUCUAUGAUUUCACCUAUUGUAUAUCAUCUCGUAUUAAUAACGACUUAAACUUAUCUCACCAUAUAACCAUAUUCCCUGAAAUUAAACA
rnacentral:sRNA from 1 species